UUCAGUGUAAGAUAAGCAGCUGGUUUGAUAAUUUGAGGUCAUUUAUGAACCUUGAUCAGUAUUUCCAGCCCUGUGACUUCAGAUACACAGAUGGAAAUUCCAGCCCCUUUUUUGGUUAGAUGAAGCUAUGGGGCCAAUUCUGGCUAGUAGCAUGAGAGGGUUGGUACCGUUUAUAAGACUUCCCUCCUCUCUUGGGGAUGAUGCAUUACUGAGCCUGGGUCACUGGUGGUGUUCUGAGUUACUGAUUGCCUCUGAGAUAUGCAGCAUGGACGAUAAACCCUCAUUUUGACUACUGGGAUUUUCGGGUUAUUACCUCAGUACAAGUUAUGUCUGUCUUUUUCUUUUUCAUGGUGUUGGGAAUCAAACACAGGAACUUAUAUAUGCCAUUAGGUGUGUGCUUUGCCACUGACCUAAGCCGUGUCCCAACCUAGCCGAUGCUGGCUUGAUUUAUUCAGGUCACCUGUUUCUCUAAUAGGUACUUAAGAAUGGGACCUUAAAGCAAAUGAGAGCUUCAAUGAAUGAUAAGUUAGAUUGUAGACCAGCCUAUUCUAGACGUGGCAUCCCUAAGAACUAUGCCAGUAAAAGGCGGAUCAACAUUAGCUUUAGAGAAUGUGAGAGAACCCUGACGGCAUAAUGGAAAUGUGUAGGGGCUGUCGAGGGUGGGAAAUGCACUUUCCCUGUGGCGUCAGAAAAGCUUUAGUGGUCUCUACCAAACUCUUUGUCUCAGCCAAACAGCCACAUAGCUGGGGUCCUGUUUGGUCAGGAAGGAGUUUCCAUUACACGUGAUGACAAGAAGCCAAGGCAGGAUGGGCCACUUGCCUGUGCUUCAUGGCCUCCUAAGGGGUGGGGUGCACAUGACCUGUGUGCCCAAGCCUGUGGUGGUGACACAAACAAGUGAUUGUGGACAGUGUCUGUGACAUCAGGAGAAGUAAGCAUGCCUGAUGCUAUCUCAGUACCAUUGAGUGUCAAAGCAAUGGUUUCUAGCUUCCUGUGAAGAACACUAGCUAAACCACAACAUCUGCUUCCUGCACUGCCCUUGCCAGGUCAUCGUUUGCUGGUGAAGGCCAUGGAGAUUAGACACUUUCUACCUCCCUCCCCUUUCUAUGAAACCCGCUGUUUAGGGAGAAGCCUUGUUUUUAAUUGGCCAGGGAGGCUAGUAAGAGCCUCUAGUUUUCUGCUUGUGUUAUGAUUUUGUGACAGGGUGAAGUCAAUCCUGGAGCAGUUACAACUCUCCAGAACUGUCAGUAACUCAGAGACUUCAACUCUGAUUAAAACUCAUGACUAGAAAAAAUUACCAUAAUUCAGUGACAGACAUGGAGAGAAAGCCAUGAUGAUCCUGACAACAGUGCCAGGGAAGAGGCCAGUGAGAGCUUUACUUCAGCAUCAGCAAGUCUCCUCAGGAUUACCACAGAGAACCAUCUUCUCGUGAAUGAAUGCCAGCCACCUUGCUGAGGAAGAGGGACCAGGAAUUUGUGUGCACCAUGAGUAUACCACAGUAGUCAGAAGAAGGCAGCAGAUCUCCUGGAAGGUGGUGAGACAUCAUGUGGGCACUGGGAACUGAGUCCAGGGCCUCUGUGGGAUCAGAAAGAGCUCUUAAUUGCUGAGCCAUCUCUACAGCCCCAACAUGCAUACAUUUUUUGAAAUGGCUAGGAGGAUGUACACCAGAAUAUCACUUGGUUAGUCUUUAGUGUGUAUGAGCAAUUUUUAAAUUUAUUCUUUCUGUUUCAAACUGUUACUGAGAAUGACAACUCUUAUAAUAAAAAUAAAAGGAGAUUGAAACUAUGAAA